rnacentral:rRNA from 1 species
GACGAACGCUGGCGGCGUGCCUAAAACAUGCAAGUCGAACGAUCCCUUCGGGGAUAGUGGCGAACGGCUGAGUAACACGUAGGUAACCUACCCUUGAAUGGGGGAUAACUCCUCGAAAGAGGAGCUAAUACCGCGUACGCUCGUGCUUCUACGGUAGUACGAGGAAAGCAGUAAUGCGCUCGAGGAGGGGCCUGCGGCCGAUUAGCUUGUUGGUGAGGUAACGGCUCACCAAGGCGACGAUCGGUAGCUGGUCUGAGAGGAUGAUCAGCCAGACUGGGACUGCGACACGGCCCAGACUCCUACGGGAGGCAGCAGUUAGGAAUUUUGGGCAAUGGGCGAAAGCCUGACCCAGCAACGCCGCGUGGGUGAUGAAGGCCUUCGGGUCGUAAAACCCUUUUACGGGUGAAGAAUAAUGACGGUACCCCGUGAAUAAGCCCCGGCUAACUACGUGCCAGCCGCCGCAGUAACAC